AAGUAGUGUGACAUGCCCGUUUUGGUGAUAUACUAUGAUGUUUAUUUAUUAUUAAAUUGUUUUGGGAUAACGGGGUGUUACAACACC
rnacentral:pre_miRNA from 1 species